GCAUCAAUAAUCAGGGUUCAGGGAUUUAACUUUGAAGUUAAAACUCUGUUAUCCAACACAGUCAUGCUAUGUUAUUCUGGAAAUAUAAAAUUAUAAAUUUAAUGAUAAUCAAGGAAGCACCAUUCUGAAAGUAAGCACUCUGUGCAAGAAGUGAUAGAAUUAAUCAAGGAGAGCAAUCUUUCUUUACUUUGGGUUUUCAAAACAGGGGCAAUUAGAGAGCAAUCUUUAAUGAUCUUAGCAUUGCUUACCGCAGAAGG
rnacentral:misc_RNA from 1 species